rnacentral:rRNA from 1 species
UUAUGUGAACCAUACCUAUCGUUGCUUC